rnacentral:tRNA from 1 species
GGGUCGUUAGCUCAGCUGGCAGAGCACCGGAUUUUUAAUCCGGGGGUCGCAGGUUCGACUCCUGCACGACCCA